GUGUCAGCAGCCGCGGUAAUACGAGGGGGGCGAGCGUUAUUCGGAAUCACUGGGCGUAAAGCGUGCGUAGGCUGUUUUGUAAGUUGGGAGUGAAAGCCCAGGGCUUAACCCUGGAAUUACUCUCAAAACUACAAGACUCGGAUUCGGGAGAGGAUAGCGGAAUUGUCAGUGUAGCAGUGAAAUGCGUAGAUAUUGACAGGAACACCAGUGGCGCAAGCGGCCAUCUGGACCGACAUCGACGCUGAGGCACGAAAGCGUGGGGAUCAAACAGGAUUAGAAACCCUGGUAGUCC
rnacentral:rRNA from 1 species